UUGCUACCUGACCUAGCGGCGGACGGGUGAGUAAUGCUUAGGAAUCUGCCUAUUAGUGGGGGACAACAUUCCGAAAGGAAUGCUAAUACCGCAUACGCCCUACGGGGGAAAGCAGGGGAUCUUCGGACCUUGCGCUAAUAGAUGAGCCUAAGUCAGAUUAGCUAGUUGGUGGGGUAAAGGCCUACCAAGGCGACGAUCUGUAGCGGGUCUGAGAGGAUGAUCCGCCACACUGGGACUGAGACACGGCCCAGACUCCUACGGGAGGCAGCAGUGGGGAAUAUUGGACAAUGGGCGAAAGCCUGAUCCAGCCAUGCCGCGUGUGUGAAGAAGGCCUUUUGGUUGUAAAGCACUUUAAGCGAGGAGGAGGCUACCGAGAUUAAUACUCUUGGAUAGUGGACGUUACUCGCAGAAUAAGCACCGGCUAACUCUGUGCCAGCAGCCGCGGUAAUACAGAGGGUGCGAGCGUUAAUCGGAUUUACUGGGCGUAAAGCGUGCGUAGGCGGCUUUUUAAGUCGGAUGUGAAAUCCCUGAGCUUAACUUAGGAAUUGCAUUCGAUACUGGGAAGCUAGAGUAUGGGAGAGGAUGGUAGAAUUCCAGGUGUAGCGGUGAAAUGCGUAGAGAUCUGGAGGAAUACCGAUGGCGAAGGCAGCCAUCUGGCCUAAUACUGACGCUGAGGUACGAAAGCAUGGGGAGCAAACAGGAUUAGAUACCCUGGUAGUCCAUGCCGUAAACGAUGUCUACUA
rnacentral:rRNA from 1 species